UGGCUGCAGCCCGCCUCUCUCAGUACCCUGCGCCGCUCUUCUCAGUACCCAUCCCGCAGACAGGAAAUGACGCAAUACCGCCGCUCUCAGUCCCCUCAGACCGGAAAUGUCGUCAACCCUUGCGACGAAAACAAGUUACGUUAUUUCACCUCUCGCGAAGAAAACACGCUCCAAGAUCACCACCCCAUUGGGAAGAAACUAAAUCACGACCCCCAAAUGGUAGUCUUCCCAUGCAGAUACAGGGAUGUCACACAGAUCCAAAUGGAAACAUCGAACACAGUAAAACCCACGUGGCAGACAGGACCAAUGGUGACAAUAUAAGACCAUGCCGAGCUUCAUGGACGGUUCAAACUCAUCCUGCCCAGGAACGGCUGAAAACGUUGACAGUCAGUCAACAGGGGGACAUGGAAAGAGAGGAUUGGAAGUGAAAUAGAGGGUUUUCCGGGACAGCCAUAGGGGAAGGACUGUGGCAUCUUCAUGUUGAUGACUGAUAUGCCAACUCUGAGGAAGUGGUGGUGUAUAUUGCUAGCGGACAAUUUCAAACUUGGGUGCAUGCCACAGGAAAGAGUUUGCCCAUUGGACAGAUGAGGCAAAAGCAUUACUGCAGGGUGAAGUGCCACCAGUCUAUCAGUUACAGAAGAGAAAUUUGAAUAUAAUUGGUGAGGAAGAGGUGCAACCACAGCUCCUUCAAGUUAGUGGUGGCCCACUCCAAAAAGAUAUGGCGGGAAAAAAUGUUUUGGUAAAAGGAUUGUGCAAGACAGCACAAAAGCCUCGGACAGGGCUAGGGGGGAAAAAAAAUCAAUGCAGUAGGAGUUCCCAAGCAUCCUGCAGAUGGAAGAGGAUGAGCACGAACUACAAUGUCUUGGAGCCAUUCAAGUUCUGUUUCAACCAUCUGGAAGAUGGAUUUACCUUUUUUGAGGAGAUUGUUGACUAAAGAAAAGAUCUAUUCUCUCAAUAAUAAUAAAAAAUAAUAAAACUAAAAAAAUAAAGUUUACCACAUCAGAACUGGUUGUAUUGAGUU